UAAUAUCUUCCAGCUAGUCUUUUUGAAUAAGGUCUUGGGUUGUUACAAAUGGUAUCAGAGCAAACUCAGCUCAUAGCCUAUAUGGACUAGAGGACACUACAACACGAGUUUAUAGAGACUGACCACGAGCCGAACGAUAUUGCUUGUGAUUAAAUUUGAAUAGAUUUGAAUCAUGACAAGGAUGACAGUGCUUGAAUGGGGGAGUAUGUAAGAAUCCACGCUUGUAUGUGUUUAGUUCUAUAUCGGUUAUUUACCGAGGAGAUCUUAGUUACUUAUAUAGAACUAAGAAGCUGAAAAAAUAUCUCCCGACUAGCCUUUUUGGAUGAGGUCCCGUAUUGUGACAGAUCUUAUGUGUGUUCAAACUACUUAAUUUCAAUUUCAGGCCCACAAGCAAUACAUGUGUUCAGUUCUUCAUACUAAACUGACGACUUCUUAAUUUAUUGUUAUAGAAUAUGGUAAGAAGUGAAAAUUCAGUUUUCACUUUAUAAUAUAAAACCUAAACACAUGUCGAUUAUCAACCAUAUAUUUUCUCUCCAUACAUUUAUGAGUUAACUAUAUGCCUAGACAUCUUAAACACCCCAAACCUACGAUUUGCAUCUAAAACUCCAUUGGAUGAUCAAAUUGUCCAAUAUAUUUACCUCACCUCUUAAACAUAU
rnacentral:lncRNA from 1 species